CCGAGUUAGGGUGUCAAACUUAUGCGCCCGACCUCCAACCCUUUGUCUACUUGACCUUAUGUUGCUUCGGCAGGCCCGCUGGUGUCCCUUUGGGGCCCGGCCGCCGGGGGUCCUCGUGGCCCCGGGUCCGCGCCUGCCGAUGGCCCCUUCUUAAACUAUUGUCAAAACGUGUCGUCUGAGUUUAUGAUUAAACAAUCAAAACA
rnacentral:misc_RNA from 1 species